rnacentral:misc_RNA from 1 species
GUGGAAUUCAGUUGGCCAAACUAUGUCACCAAAUAUGGUGGCUUGCAUUGCUGUAGAGGCGAUAUCAAUUCUGGAGAAGCUUCAUAUGAAGGGGUUCGUACAUGGAGAUGUUAAGCCAGAGAACUUCUUACUUGGUCAGCCUGGAAGCCCCGAUGAGAAAAAGCUUUUCCUUAUUGAUCUAGGCCUGGCAUCUAGGUGGAAGGA